CGCGACGCCUUCUGGGACUCGUAGUUCCAGCGCUAGGCGGAGCCCCCGCCGUCCCGUCACCUCGACCCGUGAAGGUCACUACAGAGGAUUGAGUGGCGCUCCCUGUGCUAGACAAGUUUAAAAUAAGUUGUUUAAGGGUGCAGACACUCCAAUGAUAAAAUGUUAUGAUUCCUGGCUUUCACCAGUUUCUUCUUCUUGAAGAACAAGACCCCAAUGCAUCAGGGCAGAUGCCAACAACUCUCUUCCAGAGGCAGUGCUGUCUCGUCAGUUUGGAGACACAAAGAAAGUGUCCCCGGGGCACACCUUGCUCAGAGUAGGUGCCCCACCACGUGCCCUGGAAGCCCAAGGUUUCGUAUCUCCAGCUCCUGGAACAAAGUUCAGCACAGAGCUGGGACUCUCUGAAUAUUUACUGAGUGAACAAACGUGCGAUUAUCCCUAAUUGAUAGCUGAGGAAACCAAGUCUCAGAGAGAUUGCAUACCUCACUGAAAAUGACAAGGCUGGAUGGUCAUGCAGGCAGGCUACAGGAAUGACAUACUGGGCUGAUUUCUCUGUGAGAGGGUAAUAUUUUGAAGUACAAGGAGCCUGAUUUGCAAGGUAGCGUGGAACUCUAAAAAUGACUGCCCCAAGUUGAAAACAUGCAAAACCACCUUAGUCAGUGCAUGGGGAGGUUUGCAGGAUACCAUUAAUAUACUAAAAGCCACUGAAGUGUACACUUUAAAAAUGGUUAAGGUGGUGAAUUGUAUGUUAUGUGAACUUUGUCCCAAUAGAAAUUGUUUAAUGAACAAGUGAUAGAAAAAAAAAAUCAGU